CACCCCUCAAGCGCGGCUUGGUGUUGGGCGUGGCCCGCGUGGCCGGCCCCAAAGACAGUGGCGGCGCUGCCUGGCCCUGAGCGUAGUAUCGUCUUUCGCUCCAGGGCCCGGCGGGCGGCCUGCCAGAACCCCAACUCAGU
rnacentral:misc_RNA from 1 species